rnacentral:rRNA from 1 species
GACGAACGCUGGCGGCGUGCCUAACACAUGCAAGUCGAACGAUGAAGCAAAGAAUUGAAGCUUCGGCAGAAAUCCACUUCGGAUUAGUGGCAGACGGGUGAGUAACGCGUGAGCAACCGACCUCUUACAAAGGGCUAGCCCCGGGAAACCGGGAUUAAUACCAUAUAAUAUUGCGACGAAGCAAUUCGAUGCAAUCAAAGCUACGGCGGUAAGAGAUGGGCUCGCGUCCCAUUAACCAGAUGGUGAGGUAACGGCACACCAUAGUAACGACGGGUAACCGGCCAGGAAGAGUGAACCGACACACUGAAACUGAGACACGGUCCAGACUCCUACGGAAGGCAGCAAAGGGGAAUAUUGCACAAUGGAGGGAACUCUGAUGCAGCGACGCCGCGUGAGUGAUGAAGGAAUUCGUGACGUAAAUCUCUGUUCUAUGAGAAGAAAAUGACGGUACCUUAGGAGAAAGCUCCGGCUAAAUACGUG